rnacentral:rRNA from 1 species
CAGUAGCCGCGGGAAUACGUAGGGUGCAAGCGUUAUCCGGAAUUAUUGGGCGUAAAGAGCUCGUAGGCGGUCUGUCGCGUCUGCUGUGAAAACUGGGGGCUCAGCCCCCAGCCUGCAGUGGGUACGGGCAGACUAGAGUGCGGUAGGGGAGAUUGGAAUUCCUGGUGUAGCGGUGGAAUGCGCAGAUAUCAGGAGGAACACCGAUGGCGAAGGCAGAUCUCUGGGCCGUAACUGACGCUGAGGAGCGAAAGCAUGGGGAGCGAACAGGAUUAGAUACCCUGUAGUCCCUGUGUCUUAUACA